GAUGAACGCUGGCGGCGUGCCUAAUACAUGCAAGUCGAGCGAACAGACGAGGAGCUUGCUCCUCUGACGUUAGCGGCGGACGGGUGAGUAACACGUGGAUAACCUACCUAUAAGACUGGGAUAACUUCGGGAAACCGGAGCUAAUACCGGAUAAUAUAUUGAACCGCAUGGUUCAAUAGUGAAAGACGGUUUUGCUGUCACUUAUAGAUGGAUCCGCGCCGCAUUAGCUAGUUGGUAAGGUAACGGCUUACCAAGGCAACGAUGCGUAGCCGACCUGAGAGGGUGGUCGGCCACACUGGAACUGGGACGCGGUCCAGACUCCUACGGGAGGCAGCAGUAGGGAAUCUUCCGCAAUGGGCGAAAGCUUGACGGAGCAACGCCGCGUGAGUGAUGAAGGUCUUCGGAUCGUAAAACUCUGUUAUUAGUGAAGAACAAAUGUGUAAGUAACUAUGCACGUCUUGACGGUACCUAAUCAGAAAGCCACGGCUAACUACGUG
rnacentral:rRNA from 1 species